ACCAUUGCUUUGGCAUCAGAGGAGGAGUGGUUGGAUCGGUGGGCUUUCUGUCUUUGACAAACGUAAAGUUGUUCCUCCAAAAUGUUGCUCUUUAGUUCAUACGGAGUCUUUUUGAAAAAUGAAAAUUGUUGCGAGAGCACAGUUGACGUGCCGCAAACAUUUCGACCCGCAAACAUGAACAAGUGACAGCUUUGCGUGCCCCUCAGGCUAUAAAACGUGUUCAAUCAAAGGCUGCUGGUGGGAAAGAGAAACGUUUAGCACAACAUUCUGUUUCUGUUCUGCUUUGUGUGGUGCUGGGUGCGCACUCGUGCGUGUGCGUUUGCGUGUGUGUGAGGUGAUGGAGAUAUUUUGGGGUUGUUCCUGUAAAUUCAAUCUUUGGAGACUGUCAGGAUAUAAAUGACAUACACGGGCAGGUCCAUCCACAUUUUUAACCUUUAUUACACUUUCCUUUUACUUCUAUAGAUUAUAUUUCACUUGAGGUCUUUAAUAUAUAAUCAGGCAGUAAUACCCAGUAUUUAAACUAACGUUAAAUUAUUUUAAGACAAUAUAGUUUUGGGCUUCAACGCCCAUACAAGUGCGCAUAUAGAAUGCGGUGAAGGCUUGAUAAAUGUCUGUCACAUUAGUUGGAGGCAGUAAUUGGAGUAAAUCAAAGAUCUGUCAAGCAAGUGCUGGUCACUCUCUGGUGUACCUCCUCGUGUCAGCUGAGAAAUAUUCAAGCUUGCCUGUAUCAAAAUCAAGGCCUGGGGACUCACUGAAAGCAAACCGAGUGUGUCCACGUCACGUUGCUCGAGAAAUUCAUUUCUUCUUUUCGUUUUGGCAGAAAAAAAACGUAUGAGAAUUCUUGAAAAUAGCGUUUACAUUUGGCUGUCACUAUUUUUCAUGACUUCUGAAUUCAAAUGACAUUUGUUUUGAAGAAAUAUAAUAAUCAAAUGUCAGGGCAAUUGUGUAUUCAUAAUAAUGUGUUGGACAUUUGGACACAUGUGAAUUUCAUAGUCAUGAUGGCCCUCUGAGGGAAACCAAAACCACAAAGUACAAUGAUGCAUGAAUUAAUGGUUAAGAAUUGACUUUCUUUUGUAGCUGUACCUUGUUGGUACUGGGAACAUACUGUAAGUAUACAGUAUAUUUCUAGGGCAGUGGUUCUUAGCCUUGUUAGAGGUACUGAACCCAACCAGUUCAUAUGCACAUUCACCGAACCCGUUAUUCGUGUAAAAUAAAAACAUAAUU